rnacentral:rRNA from 1 species
UAUUGCUGCCAUAGCACCUUAAAAGCACAACUUCUAAUUCAAUCACUGAAGUUAAGCAAAGUUGAGCUUGGUAAUUAGAUGGAUGAUCACAUGGAAACCUAGGUGCCAUAU